CAGCUCCCAAAAUUCGUCCUUCACCAUUUUUUCAUGAAAGAACAUCAACCAAACUUUAAAGGAGCAUAACUUCUUCGUUUCUCAACAGAAUUGGACGAUUCUUGCGGCCACGGAACCAGAAGAAGGAGAGCUACUGAUCUAGCCAUAUUAUUCAAGGUGUUCUUGAGUUGAAUUGAAGCAAAAUUGAUGGCGAAAUUGAGCUUGAAGUGUUCGGCCAUGAUCAAUAAUCCAAGGGAUAGCAUGAUAUGAUUUGGAAAGUCAAGCUUCCGAAGUUUUAAUUCUCGGAAGUCAUUUGCAUAAGAAGUGAAAGAAGGUUUUCAUUCUAGCGGUCCGCAGUAGUCUAGAUGUUUUUGUCUAUGUAUUUUUAUAACGCAUUUUAACUCUGAUGUUUUUGUAAAAUGGGGUCACAUGUAUUUUGAUAUAUGAAAUAUGAUCUGAUUUGCGAAAAAUUUACACAGGUUUGUUUUAGGCU